UAUACGACCGUACCGCAAACCGACACUGGUGCGCGAGAUGAGUAUUCUAAGGCGCUUGAGAGAACUCAGGAGAAGGAACUCGGCAAAUUGACACCGUAACUUCGGAAGAAGGUGUGCCCUAUUAGUGUGUAGUGAACAACGAAGCAUGAAUGGGUUGCAAAAAAUCGGUGGCUGCGACUGUUUAUUAAAAACACAGCACUCUGCAAACACGAAAGUGGACGUAUAGGGUGUGACGCCUGCCCGGUGCUGGAAGAUUAAAUGAUGGGGUGCAAGCUCUUGAUUGAAGUCCCAGUAAACGGCGGCCGUAACGAUAACGGUCCUAAGGUAGCGAAAUUCCUUGUCGGGUAAGUUCCGACCUGCACGAAUGGCGUAACGAUGGCCACACUGUCUCCUCCUGAGACUCAGCGAAGUUGAAAUGUUUGUGAUGAUGCAAUCUCCCCGCGGAAAGACGGAAAGACCCCAUGAACCUUUACUGUAGCUUUGUAUUGGACUUUGAACAGAUCUGUGUAGGAUAGGUGGGAGGCUUUGAAGCAGGGUCGCUAGAUCUUGUGGAGCCAACGUUGAAAUACCACCCUGGUGUGUUUGAGGUUCUAACCUAGGUCCAUUAUCUGGAUCGGGGACAGUGCAUGGUAGGCAGUUUGACUGGGGCGGUCUCCUCCCAAAGCGUAAUGGAGGAGUUCGAAGGUACGCUAGUUACGGUCGGACAUCGUGACGAUAGUGCAAUGGCAUAAGCGUGCUUAACUGCGAGACUGACAAGUCGAGCAGAUGCGAAAGCAGGACAUAGUGAUCCGGUGGUUCUGUAUGGAAGGGCCAUCGCUCAACGGAUAAAAGGUACUCUGGGAUAACAGGCUGAUACCGCCCAAGAGUUCAUAUCGACGGCGGUGUUUGGCACCUCGAUGUCGGCUCAUCUCAUCCUGGGGCUGUAGCCGGUCCCAAGGGUAUGGCUGUUCGCCAUUUAAAGAGGUACGUGAGCUGGGUUUAAAACGUCGUGAGACAGUUUGGUCCCUAUCUUCCGUGGGCGCUGCAGAUUUGAGGAAGCCUGCUCCUAGUACGAGAGGACCGGAGUGGACACACCUCUGGUGUAUCGGUUGUCACGCCAGUCGCAUUGCCGAGUAGCUAAGUGUGGAAGAGAUAACCGCUGAAAGCAUCUAAGCGGGAAACUCGUUUCAAGAUGAGAUCUGCCGGGGCCUUGAGCCCCCUAAAGAGUCGUUCAAGACCAGGACGUUGAUAGGUCAGGUGUGGAAGCCA
rnacentral:rRNA from 1 species